rnacentral:rRNA from 1 species
GAAGUUGGAGUCGCUAGUAAUCGCAGAUCAGCAACGCUGCGGUGAAUACGUUCCUGGGCCUUGUACACACCGCCCGUCACGUCAUGAAAGUCGGUAACACCCGAAGCCGGUGGCCUAACCCCUUGUGGGAGGGAGCCGUCGAAGGUGGGAUCGGCGAUUGGGACGAAGUCGUAACAAGGUAGCCGUACCGGAAGGUGCGGCUGGAUCACCUCCUUU